rnacentral:rRNA from 1 species
CCUACGGGGGGCUGCAGUGAGGAAUAUUGCACAAUGGAGGAAACUCUGAUGCAGCAACGCCGCGUGGAGGAUGACGCAUUUCGGUGUGUAAACUCCUUUUAAGAGGGAAGAUAAUGACGGUACCUCUUGAAUAAGCACCGGCUAACUCCGUGCCAGCAGCCGCGGUAAUACGGAGGGUGCAAGCGUUACUCGGAAUCACUGGGCGUAAAGGGUGCGUAGGCUGGCUUCUAAGUCAGAUGUGAAAUCCAAUGGCUUAACCAUUGAACUGCAUUUGAAACUGGGAGCCUAGAGUUCAGAAGGGGCAGAUGGAAUUAGUGGUGUAGGGGUAAAAUCCGUAGAUAUCACUAGGAAUAUCAAAAGCGAAGGCGAUCUGCUGGGAUGAUACUGACGCUGAGGCACGAAAGCGUGGGGAGCAAACAGGAUUAGAUACCCCGGUAGUC